AGUGAACGCUGGCGGUAGGCCUAACACAUGCAAGUCGAACGGCAGCACAGGAGUGCUUGCUCUCUGGGUGGCGAGUGGCGGACGGGUGAGGCAUACAUCGGAAUCUACCUUUUCGGGGGGGAUAACGUAGAGAUGCUUCCGCUAAUACCGCAUACGACCUACUGGUUAAAGUGGGGGACCGCAAGGCCUCACGCGAUUAUGUGAGCCGAUGUCCUAUUAGCUAGUGGGCGGGGUAAUGGCCCCCCAAGGCGACGAUCGGUAGCUGAUGUGAGAGGAUGAUCAGCCACACUGGAACUGGAACACGGUCCAUACUACUGAGGGAGGGAGCAGUGUGGAACAUGGGACAAUGGGCGCGAGCAUGAUCCAGCCAUACGGAGUGUGUGAAGAAGGCCUUGCGGUUGUAAAGCCCUUUUGUUGGGAAAGAAAUCCUGUCGAUUAAUACGCGGUGGGGAUGACGGUACCCAAAGAAUAAGCACCGGCUAACUUCGUG
rnacentral:rRNA from 1 species